rnacentral:rRNA from 1 species
UACGUAGGGGGCGAGCGUUGUCCGGAUUUAUUGGGCGUAAAGAGCGUGUAGGCGGUUCGGUAAGUCUGUCGUGAAAUCCUGAGGCUCAACCUCGGGCGUGCGAUGGAUACUGCCGGGCUAGAGGAUGGUAGAGGCGAGUGGAAUUCCCGGUGUAGAGGUGAAAUUCGUAGAUAUUCGGAGGAACACCAGUGGCGAAGGCGGCUCACUGGUCCAUUACUGACGCUGAGGUGCGAAAGCGUGGGGAGCAAACAGG